GUGCACGAGUUCGGGGCGGGCACUGGUGAGGACAGUGAUGAGGGCUUAUUCUUUUAUUUCGCACUUCACUCCGGCGUUUGUUCUUUUCUUUCUGAAUGGAUCAUCAGAUGACGGAGACACUUCAAUAAUCACUCACACGUUAUUAUCAUCAGCUCAAGGAGUUCAUUAUAUUGAAUAUAGAUGCGAUCGCGAGCUCCCUGGAGAAAUUGAAAACCGCUCGCACUUUUAGACUGCCGUAAAACUACAACAGGACAUGGCAGAUUUUGUUCUUCUUGGCUUUGUGGCUGUACAUCAAGACAACGACAAGGUUUGUUUGAGCUCAGGUCAUCCAUGGCUCAUUAUUAUAUGCAUAUUGUAUUUUUAUGACAUGUCACAUUACAGCAUAGGAUUGUAACUGUCAAACAAAGCAACGUUCACUUGUAGUGUAGAAGAGCUGUAGAUGUCAAUAAGAGUUAAAAGCCCAGGUGUAUAAAUGUUUUUUUGUGCAUAAUUGAUACAUUAUUUUAAAAAAUUCCUUUACAUUUUUGUAACUUUGUUUUCUUUCACUGUAUGUAUGACUGUUUUGCUGAUGUUUCAUCCUGUCUUAUGUAAACAGUAUGGGGCAUUCCUCCAGAAAUGACUUUUCCCUCAGUGCCUGAAUAAAAAUAUAAAUUGUAUAAAUGUAAAUAAAUGGAGGAUGACUUAAAA